rnacentral:rRNA from 1 species
CAGUCGCCGCGGUAAUACGAAGGGGGCUAGCGUUGCUCGGAAUCACUGGGCGUUAAGGGUGCGUAGGCGGGUCUUUAAGUCAGGGGUGAAAUCCUGGAGCUCAACUCCAGAACUGCCUUUGAUACUGAAGAUCUUGAGUUCGGGAGAGGUGAGUGGAACUGCGAGUGUAGAGAUGAAAUUCGUAGAUAUUCGCAAGAACACCAGUGGCGAAGGCGGCUCACUGGCCCGAUACUGACGCUGAGGCACGAAAGCGUGGGGAGCAAACAGGAUUAGAUACCCCUGUAGUCCCUGUCUCUUAUAC